ACAACUUUAGGUACCCAUAGCUACCAUCUUCAACCUUAGAAACGAUGACAAGAAAAAACCCUAAAAAGGACCUAACAUAAGAGACCAGCGACUGCCUUUUUCUUCUUCUUCGACAAACCAAAAAAAAGCCCUAGCUAAACUUUAACACCCCUAAGCCGCCAGCCAGAUCUCCUCUACAAGACACCAGAGCCUCCGUCGCACCUCACCACACACACACGCAUAACAUCGCUGGAAACAGGACGCUAGACAACCACCACUCCAACUCCAUAACCGUUGCUCCUCCAUGGCUCUUGAAUAAUCAAGAGUCGUCCCUCCGUUUCAGCCAUAACCCGCCACCCCUCAACCUAAAAACUCGCCGGACAGAAGAUCAGCGCAUCCGCCGGAACGAGAAGUCCCCCCCGCCCAAGUUUUCGUCCUCUUCACCCUAACCUCCUUUUCUCAUAAACGAGAACUAGUCGUCGCUCUGUUCAAUCGCUAAAGUAGUGUUCUUAGGAAUGACUAUCUCGAGCCGAUGCAGCUUCGUUUGUGAGUAUUUUCAUCAUAAAAUGCUUUAUCGGUGAUUUUCUAUGCUCUACUGCCCCGUUUAUCGUUUUAGGCUACCCUGUGCUUUGGUUGAUUUUCAGCGAUUUGCAUCUUCUCGUUUUAUUCCCGUCGUUCUUUUUCAGGAAAUACUGCCAUUGCUCCUUUGAGACCAUCUUCAGUCAUUAAUUGGCGUUUGAAUUUCUAGUGAGUUUCGAGUUUGUCGAAAUUCAUAGUCCUAGGUUUCCAGGCAGAUUCGCGGUUCCUGCUCGAGCUUCAAGUAUUAUAUUUGUUCGUGAUUGUGUUCUCUACCGGAGUUCAUUUUCGUAUUUGUUCGUUUGAGCCAAAAA
rnacentral:lncRNA from 1 species